UACGGGGGGGGCAAGCGUUGUUCGGAAUUACUGGGCGUAAAGGGCUCGUAGGCGGCCAACUAAGUCGGAUGUGAAAUCCCCAGGCUUAACCUGGGAACUGCAUCCGAUACUGGAUGGCUUGAAUUCGGGAGAGGGAUGCAGAAUUCCAGGUGUAGCGGUGAAAUGCGUAGAUAUCUGGAGGAAUACCGGUGGCGAAGGCGGCAUCCUGGACCGACAUUGACGCUGAGGAGCGAAAGCGUGGGGAGCAAACAGG
rnacentral:rRNA from 1 species